AGCAGCUCAUUGGGUGUAAAGCGUGCGCAGGCGGUUUUGUAAGACAGAGGUGAAAUCCCCGGGCUCAACCUGGGAACUGCCUUUGUGACUGCAAGGCUGGAGUGCGGCAGAGGGGGAUGGAAUUCCGCGUGUAGCAGUGAAAUGCGUAGAUAUGCGGAGGAACACCGAUGGCGAAGGCAAUCCCCUGGGCCUGCACUGACGCUCAUGCACGAAAGCGUGGGGAGCAAACA
rnacentral:rRNA from 1 species